rnacentral:rRNA from 1 species
UACGUAGGGUGCAAGUGUUGUCCGGAAUUAUUGGGCGUAAAGAGCUCGUAGGUGGUUUGUCGCGUUGUUCGUGAAAUCUCACGGCUUAACUGUGAGCGUGCGGGCGAUACGGGGCAGACUAGAGUACUGGCAGGGGAGACUGGAAAUUCCUGGUGUAGCGGUGGAAUGCGCAGAUAUCAGGAGGAACACCGGUGGCGAAGGCGGGUCUCUGGGCAGUAACUGACGCUGGAGGAGCGAAAGCGUGGGGAGCA